rnacentral:rRNA from 1 species
UACGGGGGGUGCGAGCGUUAAUCGGAAUUACUGGGCGUAAAGGGCACGCAGGCGGACUUUUAAGUCAGGUGUGAAAUCCCCGGGCUUAACCUGGGAAUUGCAUUUGAUACUGGGAAGCUUGAGUAGUGUAGGGAGGGGUAGAAUUCCACGUGUAGCGGUGAAAUGCGUAGAGAUGUGGAGGAAUACCGAAGGCGAAGGCAGCCCCCUGGAAAUGUACUGACGCUCAGGUGCGAAAGCGUGGGGAGCAAACAGG